rfam:Gossypium arboreum cultivar AKA8401 contig_43375_1, whole genome shotgun sequence.
AAUCCAUGCAUCAGACAUUUCCAAAGCAAUUCCUUAAAUCUUUCCCAAGCUUCAUACAAUGUCUCAUCCUCUAAUUGCUGAAAAGAUGUAAUGUCAUUUCUAAGCUU